AGGCACAUUUCAUUAUCCUGUUCUCUCUGCUAGUGAGAGCUGAGAUUUCUAAUGCGCUAGAUAAAGAAUGGAGGUAAAUUUAGCAGUGUGGUUUCACAGUGCCAUUACUGCCAGUCACCUUUAGACAGUU